rnacentral:rRNA from 1 species
GAUGAACGCUGGCGGCGUGCCUAAUACAUGCAAGUCGAGCGAACAGACGAGGAGCUUGCUCCUUCGACGUUAGCGGCGGACGGGUGAGUAACACGUAGGUAACCUACCUAUAAGACUGGGAUAACUUCGGGAAACCGGAGCUAAUACCGGAUAAUAUUUCGAACCGCAUGGUUCGAUAGUGAAAGAUGGCUUUGCUAUCACUUAUAGAUGGACCUGCGCCGUAUUAGCUAGUUGGUAAGGUAACGGCUUACCAAGGCAACGAUACGUAGCCGACCUGAGAGGGUGAUCGGCCACACUGGAACUGAGACACGGUCCAGACUCCUACGGGAGGCAGCAGUAGGGAAUCUUCCGCAAUGGGUGAAAGCCUGACGGAGCAACGCCGCGUGAGUGAUGAAGGUCUUCGGAUCGUAAAACUCUGUUAUUAGGGAAGAACAAACGUGUAAGUAACUGUGCACGUCUUGACGGUACCUAAUCAGAAAGCCACGGCUAACUACGUG